GUAGGGUAAAGGCCUACCAAGGCGACGAUCUAUAGCUGGUCUGAGAGGACGAUCAGCCACACUGGGACUGAGACACGGCCCAGACUCCUACGGGAGGCAGCAGUGGGGAAUAUUGGACAAUGGGCGCAAGCCUGAUCCAGCAAUACCGCGUGUGUGAAGAAGGCCUUAGGGUUGUAAAGCACUUUCAAUUGGGAGGAAAACCUGCCGGUCAAUACCCGGUAGCUUGACAUUACCUUUAGAAGAAGCACCGGCUAACUCCGUGCCAGCAGCCGCGGUAAUACGGAGGGUGCGAGCGUUAAUCGGAAUUACUGGGCGUAAAGCGUGCGUAGGCGGUUCGUUAAGUCAGAUGUGAAAGCCCUGGGCUCAACCUGGGAACGGCAUUUGAAACUGGCGGACUAGAGUUUAGUAGAGGGGAGUGGAAUUUCAGGUGUAGCGGUGAAAUGCGUAGAUAUCUGAAGGAACACCAGUGGCGAAGGCGACUCCCUGGACUAGAACUGACGCUGAGGUACGAAAGCGUGGGUAGCAAACAGGAUUAGAUACCCUGGUAGUCCACGCCGUAAACGAUGUCGACUAGCCGUUGGUCCUAUUUACAGGAUUAGUGGCGCAGCUAACGCAUUAAGUCGACCGCCUGGGGAGUACGGCCGCAAGGUUAAAACUUAAAUGAAUUGACGG
rnacentral:rRNA from 1 species